rfam:Burkholderia glumae BGR1 chromosome 1, complete sequence.
CGUCGCCCGCUUCGUGGUGGUUAAGGCUGCCAUGACUGAGCGAUCUAUCAAUCUGGUCGUGCCGCUGGCCCACAAGGCCACCGCCAUGCGCAAUGAGGAUACCGACCGCCAGCGUGCGGAGAGGUCCAGCGCAGUUUCCCGGCUGAGCAAUCGGCCGGGCGACGUAGAUAGCACGAUACUUCC